UACGUAGGUGGCCUUGUAAGUCAGUGGUGAAAUCCUGCCGCUUAACGGUAGAACUGCCAUUGAUACUGCAGGGCUUGAGUACAGUUGAGGUAGGCGGAAUGUGUAGUGUAGCGGUGAAAUGCUUAGAUAUUACACAGAACCCCGAUUGCGAAGGCAGCUUACUAAACUGUAACUGACACUGAGGUACGAAAGCGUGGGGAGCGAACA
rnacentral:rRNA from 1 species